rnacentral:rRNA from 1 species
AACGCUGGCGGCGUGCUUCAUACAUGCAAGUCGAACGAUAAGGCACCUUCGGGUGUACAUAAGUGGCGGACGGGUGAGUAAUAUGUAGAGAAUCUGCCCUAGAGAGCGGGACAACAGUUGGAAACGACUGCUAAUACCGCAUAUGAGCGUAGCUGAAAUGCUAUUCUUGAAAACUCCGGUGCUCUGGGAUGAGUCUGCAUCUGAUUAGCUAGUUGGGGGUGUAAUGGACCACCAAGGCGACGAUCAGUAGCUGGUUUGAGAGGAUGAUCAGCCACAAUGGGACUGAGACACGGCCCAUACUCCUACGGGAGGCAGCAGUAGGGAAUUUUGCGCAAUGGGGGAAACCCUGACGCCAGCAACGCCGCGUGACCGAUGAAGCCCUUCGGGGUGUAAAGGUCUGUCAGUGGGGACGAAUAUUGACGGUACCCACAGAGGAAGCAUCGGCUAACUCCGUGCCAGCCGCGGC